GAUGAACGCUGGCGGCGUGCCUAAUACAUGCAAGUCGAGCGAACAGACGAGGAGCUUGCUCCUCUGACGUUAGCGGCGGACGGGUGAGUAACACGUGGAUAACCUACCUAUAAGACUGGGAUAACUUCGGGAAACCGGAGCUAAUACCGGAUAAUAUAUUGAACCGCAUGGUUCAAUAGUGAAAGACGGUUUUGCUGUCACUUAUAGAUGGAUCCGCGCCGCAUUAGCUAGUUGGUAAGGUAACGGCUUACCAAGGCGACGAUGCGUAGCCGACCUGAGAGGGUGAUCGGCCACACUGGAACUGAGACACGGUCCAGACCCCUACGGGAGGCAGCAGUGGGGAAUCUUCCGAAAUGGGCGAAAGCCUGACGGACCAACGCCGCGUGGGUGAUGAAGGUCUUCGGAUCGUAAAACCUUGUUAUUAGGGAAAAACAAAUGGGUAAGUAACUAUGCCCGUCUUGACGGUACCUAAUCAGAAAGCCACGGCUAACUACGU
rnacentral:rRNA from 1 species